GUGGGGAAUUUUCCGCAAUGGGCGAAAGCUGACGGAGCAAUACCGCGUGAGGGAAGACUGCCUAUGGGUUGUAAACCUCUUUUUUCAGGGAGGAAUAAAAUGACGUGUACCUGAAGAAUAAGCAUCGGCUAACUCCGUGCCAGCAGCCGCGGUAAGACGGAGGAUGCAAGUGUUAUCCGGAAUCACUGGGCGUAAAGCGUCUGUAGGUGGUUUAAUAAGUCAACUGUUAAAUCUUGAGGCUCAACCUCAAAAUCGCAGUCGAAACUAUUMGACUAGAGUAUAGUAGGGGUAAAGGGAAUUUCCAGUGGAGCGGUGAAAUGCGUAGAGAUUGGAAAGAACACCGAUGGCGAAGGCACUUUACUGGGCUAUUACUAACACUCAGAGACGAAAGCUAGGGUAGCAAAUGGGAUUAGAUACCCCAGUAGUCCUAGCUGUAAACAAUGGAUACUAGAUGUUGAACAGAUCGACCUGUGCAGUAUCAAAGCUAACGCGUUAAGUAUCCCGCCUGGGAAGUAUGCUCGCAAGAGUG
rnacentral:rRNA from 1 species